rnacentral:lncRNA from 1 species
CUAGGCCCGUCCCUGAAGGGGGGUAGGGGGUGGCCGCCCCUGCGCCCUCGGAAUGGAAGGGCCCCCCACGUAUAUGUCUACUUCUCUACACCAGGCUUGAAAUUUCAUAGAGGAAAAAACAGCGAUGUUGCACGUUGUGACGUGAGGGGCCAAGUAGCAACUAGUACAAAAAGCAACCUAAUGGUCCUCGGCCACCAUAGCCACCAUCAACACGCCCCAGUAGACUAAACCGUCCCCAACCACAACUGUAAGGAUAGAUCUUGUGGUGAUCUGAACAGCAGGGAGAUUGGCGUUGUCAUAGGCCAACCGGCGACGGACAACGUGCUCUACAACAAAGCCCAACACUGCAAUGGGAGUGAGACCAGCCUAUCGACAAUGACGUUGGAUCCUAGGUACGACACGGACACACACUAUUCCACGCGAGCUGAGAAAGAGUAGAAGACGAGGGGAGAGAUACCGCCAACACUAACCACACCUCAAGGGGCUUUUCCCCGGCGGCGGAUAGGGAGGAGAGGGUUGAGGACGAGAGCUUGGUGCGGCAGUUUUUAUCACUGCAUAUAGUAUCUUUUACUUUGUCCAAUUGUUAUUUUACUCGUUCUGUUCUAAUUAAUUGAGCGGAAGCUCGAAGUAAAACAUACUUCUUGUGUGUCUCAUUGCUGAUCACACUAAAAUUUCCAGAGCAUUGGAAUCUGAUUUGGCAGUUGCCACUAGUAGAAAACAGGUCUUUCGUUUGACCCUUUAGUCCCGGUUUGGUUUUGAACCGGGACUAAUCUGACCAUUAGUCUCGAUUCGAGCGGCUGGAGGCCAAACGACUUUUGUCCCGGUUCGUUAAGGGCCUUUUGUCCCGGGUUGAGCCACGAACCGGGACUAAAGGGGUUGUGGCAACCGUUCG